rnacentral:lncRNA from 1 species
CGGCUCUUUGGCAAGAUCCAAACGUUCCAAUGUCACGAGGCUAGACCUAUAGGUCGAGGUGGAUGCGGAACCGAGUCAAGGAUGACGCCCAUGGUUCUUAUAGGCUACUCGGUGAGUUUCCAGGGCAACGAAUCCUGUAGAAACCAGGACUAGGACGCGAACUCCUUCGAUGGAGCCCCGGUCGUGCGCGUCCAAUGAAGAAGGAAGGAAAGGGAAGGAUGUCGCUGACGUGCGGGCCCAGAGUGGCAGUGAGAGGAAAGGAAGGGGAAGGGACUGACGCGCGGGCCCAUCUGGUCAGUGAAGGAGGAGAGAGGGGAAGUGGGGCGCGUGGCUGGGCUGUUGGGCCGAAGCAAGCUGGGGCGCGGGGAGAGAAAGGGCCAGGGGAAAAGGGGGAGGAAACUGGGCCGCGGCCUCUGGCCUGGCCGAGCUCGGGUUACUCUUUUUUUUCUUCUUUGUGUUUUUUUCUAUUUUAAGGCCUUUUCAAAACAAUUUAAAAUCAGUUUGAAAAUAUUUUGAUUUUCCCCAAAAUCACACAACAAAAUGGAAAUAAUGCUCCAAUAUGAAUGCACAACAAGUUGCUACAUCCUAUGAUAAAUUUUAAUUUAAUGAAAAAUAUUAUUUUCCUAUGUUUCAUGAGCACAAAAAUAAGAAAUUAAAUCAUUUUUCACCUAUUUCAAGACACCCAUAUGAAAUGAAAACCACUUUAUGAUCAAGUGCACUAUCUUGUUGUGGUUGACCUGCUUCUUCUUUUGACCAUUGCUUGCAUGAGAGAACUACUAAGAAUAUUACUUGAAAUAGCAUGACUAGCUCUCUUUUGGGUUGUUGCUUGCUUUCAUGAACAAUCCUUUUGAUUGCUUCAACUAAGCAUCUCAAAUGUCCUUUAGAUCACCACUUCCAUGUUAGCCUUCCAAACACCGCACUUGGUUUACCCACUUCUCGGGCGGCAAGCCCCUCACAUAGGGAGAAGUGACCUCUCUCCAAAGAACCAUUCUUGACACUCACUUGAAUUGCCUUUGAUUGAUUGAUUCAAGUGAUGGACUUAAUAUGAUGAGUAACCAUGAAUCCUUCUUUAAGUCCUUUUCUUUCUACUUGUUUAAGUCCUUUUCUUUCUACCAAAUGAUCUCCAAUAGUCACUAGAACUUAAACUUCAUCUUCAUCUUGAGUUUGAUCUUGGUGUUCAAUUUGAGUACUAAAAUGUGUACACCAAGUACAUUCCACAAUCAAAUGACCUUGUACUCAUUACUUGUCAUUCUUCUAGAUCAAUUCAAAACCAAACUUAGGUGCCUCAAACACUUAUAAUCAUGUUCCCAACUUGAGGACCUUUCAAUUUAAGUGACUCUAGAUCAAUCCAAUAUUUGUCA